rnacentral:lncRNA from 1 species
ACAGGCGCGAGCCACCAUGGUGGGCCCGUCACUGGGUUUAGGGCUCACCCUAAUCCAGUGUGACUUCAUCUGAACUAAUUACAUCUGCAAAACGCUAUUUCCAAAUAAGGUCACACUGUGAGGUUCUGGGUUGACAAGAAUUUUUGGAAGACACUUAUUCAACCCACAGCACCUAUCUUAUCAGGUCAUUGUGAGGAUUAAAUGAGAUGAUGCCUGUGAAGCAUUUGGCACAAUGGCUGGCACAUAGUAAAAUUCAUUGAAUGUUAGUCAUUUUUAGGACAGUAAAUUAAUCAGCAUUAUUUUUAUUUAUUUAUGAAUGUCAGAAACCCAAUUCAGUCCUUGUGUGGCUGGAUCUGGGUGCUCAAAUGAGGCUAUGGAGGACCUUUCCUUCUUUGUCGCCCAGCUUUCUUCAUUGUCUUUAUCCUUAGGCACACUCUCCUAGAGAGGUGGCAAGAAAAUCUCUCAGCAGAUCUAGGGCUCCAUUUGACCAGCUCAUCAUGCUUGAUGGAAAAGGAUCACCUCUUUCUCAGUAGCGUCAGCCAAAGUUCCAGGGCUGAAUCUCAUGGAAACAAUCUGGAAUAUGAGCCUAUCCCAGAACCAAUCUCUGUGGCCAGGGGGAUGCACUAUCCUGAACUAGCAGACUCACAGCCAGAGAAGAAAGUUUGAACACACACCACUGUUAGGUGCAAAAACAAAAUGAGUUUGUUGAUGAAGAUGCUGAUUUAGAGGAGGUAGUGGAGGAGAAAGGAGAGAAUAAACCUAAAGAGGAUGUUGUAGGGAAUUCACCCUGAGAAAUUCAGAUCCGCCUCUGGGACUGGAGAAGGAGGACAUUCCAGGAGCUCCGGAAGAGCCCAAUCCCCAAUUCCAGUAAGACAGCUUAUGCCAACCAGUUUGAAGACCCCCAGAGAAGAACAGAAUCAAUAUGAGAAUACAGUUUCUUCACCUGCCUGUCUUAUGGCUCCAACCUGCACUCUUUGACCAAUCAACAAUCUCCACACUUUGGCACACUCCAAAACCCUUAAAGACACUAUCCCCAAACUCCUCAGAGAGUCGGAUUUGAGGUUUCCUCCUGUCUCCUUGUUUGGUGGCCCUACAAUUAAACCUCUUUCUCUGCUGCAGUCUGGUGUCUUGGGCAUAUUUAAAAUUGCCUUUGCAAAGAUUAUGACAGUGAGAGAAGUCUAGCAAGGCUGACUCCCUCUUGCUUCUAGCCCCCCAGGCUGGCUGUCCUCACUCAUUCCUGGGCAUAGGCCAAGCUAACCAUGGGAGGAAUUUAGUUUACAGUUUAACUUUGAAGAAAGGAUGAUAAUAGUCCCUCUCUAAAACUGAUCCCCUCCUUGUUAGGGGGCUGAAACUGCCUUUGUAAGACCAAUGGAAGGCCACAAGAUUACAAAUAUAGAAGGGGCCUGAAUUCUGCUUAAAUGUAGGGCGGGGCCGGGCACGUUGGCUCAUGCCUGUAAUCCCAUCACUUUGG